GCCAGAGUGGUGGAACGGUAUACACAGCAGACUCAAAAUCUGCCGCCCGUAAGGGCUUGUCGGUUCGAAUCCGACCUCUGGUA
rnacentral:tRNA from 1 species